rnacentral:lncRNA from 1 species
CGAUGAGGAAGGCCCGGUCACCAAGUAACGCGCAAUCGAACAGUUCGCCUUGGUUCAUGUCCCGGAGAAGCUUGGCCCGGCCCGUUUGUUUGUCCAUUCCAUAGCGUGCCAAUAUUGGCGACAAUAAUUUGCAGUGGUAGUUGGAGAGGCCCAUCACCUUUACCAGUUCCGUGUUCUUCUUGGGAGCCCCCGUCACUCCGAGUAGCGCGUUCCGCAGCAGAUUGUGCAGCACUACGUCCGGGUCGGUCACCUCCUCCACUCCCAGCAGCUGUUGCUGCUCGUGCCGCUGUCCGCACUCGGUACACUCGAUGCUGACAGAACCCGAGGCCGGGAAGAAGAGGCGCGCCUGGCACUUGGGAUCCGGGCAACUCCCGGAAAGGAUUCUUCGGUCCCUUCGUUUCGAAAGGCCCCCCGGAGAAGCCGCCGCCGCCAGAGACGACGAAGUCUGCGGAGCCUCAGGGGGAGGCGGCGGCGGCGGCAGCGGAGGAGGCGGCGGCGGCUGAGACAUCGCUCUCGGCUCUCGCUCGGCGUCCCAAGCGACCCUCAAAGGCACAUAGCCAGACCUCCGCCGGCCCGACGAGGUCUAGUCCAGGCCCAGGGCGAAUGGCUUUCCUUUUCCUACCAGUUCCUCCUCCUCCUAGGCGAAGGCGGAAGCGCCGGACGUUGUUUCUCUUCUCACUUCUCCACUGCCUUAGCCGUUGCCCCGAACGUAACGGCCACCACCCCACCCCGCACUCACACUCACUCACUCUCGCUCUCUCCCUCAGACACAGACAUACACGCCCUCACUGAGACUGCGCAGGCGUAGCUUCUGCUCUGCCCUCUGGGAACCAGAGUCUUCCGGCUCCUCUCUCGCGAAGGAGUGCUAGGCGCUUCCGUCCAGAAAGAACUUCAAAUACCGUGAUGCAAAGCGACUCGACGCACGCGGGGAGGAGGAAGAGGAAGGCACUCGGAAGGAAAUUACCACUUAGCUAGCAAGUGCCGUAACUGAGCUUCUAUCUUAUUCGUAGUUAUAAGCUGGUAGGUUAAUGAUGAAAGGUCACAGUUUGAGAAUUACUGAUCGCCAACUUGUACCAUCAUAACCAGUUCUAUUUUGGAGAUGAAGAAACUGAGCAACAGAUCAGAACUGAGUCUCAAUAGGGCAUUCAGAAAGUCCUUCAAAUGGAGCCUCAAUCAAGAAAAUUACAACACAGGGACAACAGCACUUUCUCCACAGACAACUGCACUUUCCCACUCAAGUAUGCUUUAACGGAUGGAGGGGACAAGUGGUGGCUCCAGACUGUCUGAAGACAGGAGUCUGUCAAGUGUCUGCUUUAAGAAAUCAGGUGUGCUGGCUGCUCCUAACUCUCAGAAGAAUGGGGAAGGGAGAUAAAGGACAUGGUGUUCAGCUCUCUCUAUUUGUGCAGUGAUACACUUUUGCACGUCUCAACUCUGGUUUCCUAGCUUCAAGUGAGAGCCCUGUGCCCCUCAUCUGUCUCCUGCCCCCUGAUGCAGCCCAUUAGUGUGGGGCUGUGCUUCCUUCCCUGCACUUCAAAGAACUCAGCCGCAGGGUCAAUACCAUAAGCCCCAAUUCCUAAGCCUCCUUGAUCACCAAUGCCAGACUUUCUCCAAGCUAUGAGACAAUCAAAGAGGAGUAAGGGGUGACUAAGCUGCAGGAACCCCACAACUCAGCCGUUGUGAGGACCUCUGUGAUCAACAUGCUCGGAGAGGUAGGUCUCUGUUCCUGACCUCCGUGCCACACCAGGUGGUCUGGUCCCCUUUCACCUCCCUACUCUUGAGCAGCUGCUGCCUGUUAUGCCUGCUCUGUGACGUUCAAGGACAGGAAGGUGCUGGAUGAUGAUUGGAGCCCAGGCCUAGCCCUCCACUGGCAAGUUCCAAACAGCAGUCCCUGGUCUUCAGCAUCCUACAGCCAUCGUCUACAUCUUGACUGUCUCCACCAAAGCCUUUUCACAAAGGAUACCACGUCCUGGAACGUCUUGUAUGUCAGAUAGUACUCAUGAUUGGAACAUCUUGUAUGUCAGAUACUACUCAUGAUUGGAACGUCUUGUAUGUCAGAUACUACUCAUGAUUGGAACGUCUUGUAUGUCAGAUACUAUUCAUGAUUGGAAGGAAGACCACAUGAGGAUUUGGAGAUUUCGGGAGUCCUGUGAGGAAGGACAAUUACUGAUUCCUUGGAUAUCAACUAUGUCAGGAUCUAGACUAGUCGUUCUGCUUCUGCAUAUAAUAUGAUCCUCACAGAUGAAGAUCUCUACAGAUGAAGACAUAGAAACUUGAAGAGAUUAGGCGCGCGCACUCUUCCCAGUUCCUCCACUCCUGCUACUUUGAUACACUCCACGAUGGUCAUGGACUUUCCCUCUAAAACAGGAUGCCCAGCCCAGCCCACAGGACACCUCCCCGCUCCAAGCCCUGUUCCUUACAUGCUGUCAUUGCUGAACACGGCUAGCCUCUGGGACUCCUGAGGAGAAGAAAAUAUGCAAGGAAGAACAGGUUUGAGCUCAAGGUGUUAAAUCUCUGGAUCUGGCCAAUCUGUCGUUUUCUUCAUGGCCUUCUGUCAGCCUCAGAAAGAGACAUUUAGAUCUUAAAAUACCAGAAGUCUGAAGAUAGCAAAUUAUCUCUGAGAUGUUUAUCUUCUCUCAACUAAUUUGAAAUGCUACUUUGAAAAUGUGAAGCCUUUCAGGCAGCACUGCUGACUGCCAUGGGAGGUUCUGGGUACCCUGGGGAGCGCAGAGCCUCGGACAGAAUGGCCUUCACUGAACUGAGUCAGGCCCACCAGAAAGAAGCUAUCAUGGAUUAAAAUGUUUGGUAAACCAGGAGCCAUCUACUGCUUGGGUGAUCAUCUUAUGCUAUGGCUGUGACCAUAAGUGGAGAGGCUUUAAACAAUGCCGCUAGAACCGUUCCACAGCUCCAGGGUGAGAUGGUGUCAGGAGGAAAGAAAAGAACCCCUCACCCCCUGAAAAUCCAGUGUAUCUCUGUACCUUGUACCUUGUCUAACACAGUGCUUCGCAAAGGAAACGUUUGUCCAAUCAGUAAGGCUUCUGUUCACAUGAUUGCCAUAAACCACCCUGUAGCUAGCUAUCCAGAAAAAGGAAAGGUCACAAAGUUUCAUGGAGAAACUAGGUAAAGUGUUCAAAGGAUCAGUUUCAAAUGCAAAUCCUUGAAUUUAAGUAGAAGACCCUUGCUUGUUUAAAGGCCUUUGAGAAGAGCCAGAAGGCAGAGCAGAGAAUCAAAUGAGUCUGUGGAGUUUGGUUGUUUAUCACCCAGCUCUGUGGAGGCUUUGGUUGAAGUUCCACUAGUAAAUUGUCAACCUUUCUGCCUCAGAUCAGCAAGCCUUCCCAACACAAGACUUCGCAGAUGACCCUUUCAACAGAUACGAGGACAAUUCAACAGAGGAGUGGAACCUGUGGACAUGGAAGACACUGAAAAUAUACUCCAUCUUCAGAACAGCUGAGACACUAUACAAUUACUAUCUUCACUUUACAGAUGACAGUUUGGAUGUGAACUUGGCAACAUUCCUAGGAAUUCAUAGCUGGUGACAAAAAAAAAAAUAUAGUCAAGGCCAAACAGUGCAUAUAUUUUUCUGUUGUCAUUUGCCUGCCUUUUUAUUUUUCUAAUUAUUUUUUUAUUCUUCUUUCACACACUACAUCUCAACCACAGUUUCUCCUCCUUCCAUCCUUUCCAGGUGCCCCACAUGCCUCUCCUCUCCCCUAGAUCCACUCCUCCAUUUCCCUUCAGAAAACAGAAGGCCUUCCAGGGAUAUGAACCAAACAUGGGAUUGAAAGAUCCUGGCAGAAUGUAAAAGGACAGAAGCCCUGAAAUUGGCAAGAUAGACGUCAGUGUUAGCAGAACUAGCUUCACUGAUUUAGAAAAAUAGAAGUGCACAAUGCUCUGGCCACUCCUUGAACCUGUGUGUCUGCCAAUGUUCUGACCAGGUGUGUGCCCAUUGCUGCACCUUCAUUAGACUCUUUCCUUGUACCCCUCCCAUACCCAUUUCUUGAGAAUAGACAUUGUUUAGAUCUGGAAAUCCCCUAAUCUCCCCCUUCUCCUUUCCCCCCUGAGGGCCUAUAAAAACUGGGAACUCUUUUCCCUCGAGGUCGACUCCUCUACCCCUGCGUGGGAUAUGAGUCGUCCCCAGAGCUCUGGCUUUCCCCGAAUAAAGCCUCAUGUGGUUUGCA